rnacentral:rRNA from 1 species
UACGUAGGGUGCGAGCGUUAGUCGGAAUUACUGGGCGUAAAGCGUGCGCAGGCGGUUGUGCAAGACAGAUGUGAAAUCCCCGGGCUUAACCUGGGAAUGGCAUUUGUGACUGUACGGCUAGAGUGUGUCAGAGGGGGGUAGAAUUCCACGUGUAGCAGUGAAAUGCGUAGAUAUGUGGAGGAAUACCGAUGGCGAAGGCAGCCCCCUGGGAUAACACUGACGCUCAUGCACGAAAGCGUGGGGAGCAAACAGG